rnacentral:lncRNA from 12 species
AUGCAUGGGGGGGAGCAGCAAGGACUGGGGGUGCCCGCCGGAGCGGCCACAGAAGGAGCACUGAUGCCUUCGCGGGGCCUCCGCCAUUCCGGGGGCUGGAGGAGGAAGGGGUCUCCUUCAACUCUUGAUUGCCAGUGUCUGAAGGCACCCCGAUUUACUUUCAAUGCUCCUUUCUCCUCGGUCUGCUCUUUCCUGAAAGGAGCCACCGAGUUGUGGAACAUUGCCCCCACCUCUUCAAGGAGGUGCCCUGUGCCUAGAAGGGGAACCAGUGGAUUGUGUAUGUCAACCUUAAAAGCUUCGCCCUCAAGUUCCCACAGGGAAGGCAUCAAGAAAAUUAAAAGAAAGGGGCUCCCCGAUGUUUAUAACAGCCAUGUCCACAAUAGCCAAACUGUGGAAGGAGCUUUGUUGUCCAUCAAAAGAUGA